rnacentral:rRNA from 1 species
CCGCUAUUGGAGUUCGAUUAAGCCAUGCGAGUCGCGAGAAAUUAGAUUCUCGGCGUACCGCUCAGUAACACGUGGGUAACCUGCCCUAUGCUGGAUAAUAACCUCGGGAAACUGAGUAUAAUGAUCCAUAGUUCACUACGCCUGGAACGGUGAGUGGAUGAAAGCUCCGGCGGCAUAGGAUGGGCCUGCGGCGUAUCAGGUUGUAGGGGGUGUAACGUACCCUCUAGCCCUCUACGCGUACGGGUGUUGGGAGACAUAGCCCGGAGAUGGAUUCUGAGACACGAAUCCAGACCCUACGGGGUGCAGCAGGCGCGAAAACUUGGCAAUGCGAGAAAUCGUGACCAGGGAACUCCAAGUGCAUCGGGUAAGACCGGUGCUUUUCUUGACUCUAAUAGGUCUUGGAAUAAGGGGUGGGUAAGGACGGUGCCAGCCGCCGCGGUAAUACCGGCGCCUCAAGUGGUAGUCGCUUUUAUUGGGCCUAAAACGUCCGUAGCCGGUCUGAUACAUUCGUGGGUAAAUCAACCAGCUCAACUGGUUGAAUUCUGCGAGGACGGUCAGACUUGGGACCGGGAGAGGUGUGGGGUACGCUCAGGGUAGGGGUAAAAUCCUGUCAUCCUGAGCGGACCACCUGUUGCGAAGGCGCCACACUAGAACGGAUCCGACGGUCAGGGACGAAGCCUAGGGGCACGAACCGGAUUAGAUACCCGGGUAGUCCUAGGUGUAAACGCUGUGGACUUGAUGUUGGGGGUGCUCCGAGCACUCUCAGUGUCGAAGCGAAGGUGAUAAGUCCACUGCCUGGGAAGUACGGUCGCAAGGCUGAAACUUAAAGGAAUUGGCGGGGGAGCACCGCAACCUGAGGAUUGUGCGG